UGGCUUAUUCUGACAUUAACACUGUAAAAUUGGCCCAAAUGGGUUUAAAGUGGUCAGAACUUGCUCUUGAUUAGUUGAAAUCUUUUCUCACAAGGAAAAAUAAUUUCUGACCAGUUCCCUAUUUUGACCAGUUUAAACUAAUCCUGCAGAGCUAGAGCCUGAGGUCGGUAAAUCCAGGAAGAUGGCUGAAGAUGAAGUUGAUUCGAGCCAAAGCAAGGAAUCAGAAGUUGUACGGGCUGAGGACAUAGCUUGGAGAGGAGUUCAUUGAAGGUUGGGAGAUUCAUAAAAGAUGUAUUCUCCAUAAAAUUCCCUCCAACAAUUCACCUAUGAAAUAUCACCACAGUCCCUUGUGCUCUUCAAUGGCCUAACUGCCAAAAAUUAGAUGAACAGAUCAAGGAG